GAUGAAGAACGUAGUGAAAUGCGAUAACUAAUGUGAAUUGCAGAAUUCCGUGAAUCAUCGAGUCUUUGAACGCACAUUGCGCCCCCUGGUAUUCCGGGGGGCAUGCCUGUCCGAGCGUCAUUACAACCCUCAAGCCCGGCUUGUGUAAUGGGCGGCCGUCUCUCCCCCCGGGGGGAGACGCCCCCGAAACUCAGUGGGGAUGUCGCGAUACCGAAGCCUCAGCUAAUGGGUAAACCACAGCUGCAAUGGCCGCGGCCGGCGUCCGCCUUCCACGGUCCGUCCGCCUAGCGCGGGCGGCCUUCUCAAGGUUGACCUCGGAUCAGGUAGGGAUACCCGCUGAACUUAAGCAUAUCAAUAAGCGGAGGA
rnacentral:misc_RNA from 1 species